AGGAAGGAAGGAAGGAAGGAAAUAGAAUGUUUCAGAAUGUUCUAGCAACCCUGUCCAUAAUAGCCCCAAACUAGAAAUGCUGCAAAUGCUUUUGCCCAGGAGAAUGGACAGCCAACAGGAGUAGACGCAUGCAGUGGGUUACUGGAGAAGAAACAUUUGAUCAACAACACACAAGAGGGAUGAACCUCACAGAGUGAAGGGGGUCACACCCAGUGGCAGGUGCUCCACAGGGUCUGUGGGUGGAUGUCCCAAGGUGCAUGCAGCAGAUCUGUCCUCUUGUUGGCAGGGAUGAUGCUCACUGCUGCGGAAGAGGAAGGCACACAGGGAGGCCUCCAGUGGCAAGGCAGCUCUGCAUGAGGCUUGAGUGCUGGCUGCUUGGCUGGCUGUGUGUGCGCUGUGAGGCUCCACCCAGCUGCAGGAAUGCUGGUGAAUUGUGCAUUUUUCCUGGGAGCAUUGCACUUGGCUCCUCUGAUCUGAGACACACACAUGUGACAGUAUCUCAUAAAGCUUGUGUAGGGGCAGGUGUUUGGCAUAGUCGUGGAGAUGCCAGUUGGGUCUCCCACAUCCCAUAGAGCAGUGCCUGCCUGGUUGAAGUCCCAGCUCCAUUUUUCAUUCUCCCUUCUUGCUAAUGCACACCCUGGCAGCAGACAAUGGCUCAGGUAGCUGAGUAACUGCACCCUGAAACCCACAUAGGAGACCUAGACUGAGUUCCUACCUCCUGGGAUUGUCUUGUUCCAGCCCCAGAAUGUUGCAUUUGGGGAGUGAACCAGGAAAUGGGAGAUCUCUCUCUCUCUCUCUCUCUCUCUCUCUCUCUCUCUCUCUCUCUCCACACACACACAUACACACACACACACACACACACACACACAACAUGUAUGCCUGUCCCUUUCUGCCUUUCAAACAAAAUAACUUACUUUUAACUUCAUGAAGAAUGGACUUAAAAGAUGAGCUUGGUUUGGUGUUUAACGAUUUUGAACUCCAUGCAUAGUUUUCUCAUAAUGUGCAACUUUUUGGUGAACUUUUUGAAGAUCCAUUCAUCUUCAUGGAGAUGCACACACACAACACACAUAAUAAAUUUUUACAAAGAACAAAGGACAUGGGGAAAGCCCGUAUGUCAUUCUCUGGCCAUUUACAACUGUCCCAUCUAAGAAGUGGCCAGGGUGACAAAUUUCAGUCCUUCGGCCUCCAUCUCUGAUUCUGAUCCAAUAAUAGACUUUCUUGUGAUCGUUAUCAAUCCAUGAUGCCCUGGGAGAACAGGUGUGCUGAUGGGCACUGCCUACAGAGGACAGAGGGGGUGAACUUUGCAGUGGGAGCUGUGGCUGCAGAGCCCAGCCACUGGCCUGGGUGAGCCAAGGAAGCACUGCACAGCCCUCGGCUCCCACCUUUUCUCACCUACUCCUGAGCUCAUGCUUGGGACGGACCAGUCUCGCAGACCCUUCUCCCAGGCAAACCCGACCCGAGCAUGCAAGAUUCUGUCUGGACAAAGCCAGAGGCCAGCAUGUGGGAGAGGGCAGCUCCCUGAUAGUAGCCUGGGAAAGCAGUAGAAGACGGCACAGGUGCUUGGGCCCCUGCACCCACAUAGGAGACCUGGAAGAAGCUCCUGGCUCCUGACUUUGGCCUGGCCCAGCCCUGGCAAUUGUGGCCAUUUGAGGAGUGAACCAGCGAAUGGAAGAUAAAUCUCACUCUCUCUGUCUAACUCUGUCUUUCAAAUAUGUAAAAUAAAUCUUUUAUAAAAAGGAUGUAUAUGAAACAUAAAUGAAUUUCACGUUGAUACUUGGGUCCCAUUCCAAAGAUAGCUCAUUACUUACAUGUAUACCAACAAUUCCAAAAUCUGAAACAUUUCUGGUUGCUAGCAUUUCAGAGCAGAGAUUCUCUGCCCUCAGUAGUUCACCUGCUCUGCAACAGCCUGGCCCAAUACCAGUGCUUCCUGUUGAUGUCUGUGUGGUUUGGGUUGGAUUCUGCAUAAACUAAAGCCCUUGAUCACACUCAGGCAUCUCCUUUUGGAGCCCUCAACAGUGUGGCCACCUCGGCCAGCAGGAGGUGAUGGAGACACGGUGCCUGUGCCCAUGCAGCAGUGAAUUGGAUCUGGGUUGGGUUUUAACCAAACAGUUGGCAAAUUUUAUUUCUUUUUUUUUUAAUAUUUAUUUAUUUGGCUGGCGCCAUGGCUCACUAGGCUAAUCCUCCGCUUGCAGCACUGGCACACCGGUUCUAGUCCCGGUCGGAGCACUGGAUUCUGUCCCGGUUGCCCCUCUUCCAGGCCAGCUCUCUGCUAUGGCCCAGGAGUGCAGUGGAGGAUGGCCCAAUGUCCUUGGGCCUUGCACCCGCAUGGGAGACCAGGAGAAGCACCUGGCUCCUGGCUUCAGAUCAGCGCGGUGCACCAGCCACAGCGUGCCAGCCACGGCAGUCAUUGGAGGGUGAACCAACGGCAAAAGGAAGACCUUUAUCUCUGUCUCUCUCUCUCACUGUUCACUCUGCCUGUCAAAAAAAUUUUUAAAAAGAUUUAUUUAUUUAUUUGAAAGUCAGGGUUACACACAGAGAAGAGAGGCAGAGGCAGAGACAGAGGGAGAGAGAGAGAGAUAGAGAGUAAGAGAGAAAAGUCUCCCAUCUGCUGGUUCACCCCUAGUUGGCUGCAAUGGCUAGAGAUGCGCCAAUCCAAAGCUAGGAGACAGGAGCUUCUUCCAGGCCUCCCACUUGGGUGCAGGGGCCCAAGUACUCGAGUCAUCUUCUACUGCUUUCCCAUGCCACAGCAGAGAGCUGGAUGAGAAGUGGAACAGUCGGGACUCGAACCGGUGCCCGUAUGGGAUGCUGGCACUACAGGCAGCAGCUUUACCUGCUACGCCACAGCUCAGCCCCAGAUUUGGUUUCAUAUCCCAUCCUUUUUCUGCUUUUUAGACCUUACCAACACAGAUUUUUAAAAAUUUUUAUUUAUUUGAGAGACAGACACACAGAGUUCUCCCAUCUGCUGGUUCACGCCCAAAAUGCCUGCAAUGGCCAGGGCUCCUCAGGGUGAAGCCAGGAGCCUGGAACUCCAUCCAGAUUUCAUGCAGAGGAACCAUACUGGAACCAUCACAACUGCCUCCCUUAGGUGAGCAGUGAAAUCAAGAGAUGGGACAGGUAGUAAACUGAGGUACUCGGAUGUUGCCUGGACCAUUUUUUUCUAAGAUUCAUUUAUUUAUUUGAAAGGCAGAGUCACAUAGGGGCAGAAGCAAAUAGUGCAAGAAAGAGAGAGAGAGAGAGAGACUUCCAUCCACUGGUUCACUCCCUAGAUGGCCACAAUAGGUGGAGCUUUGCUCAUGUGGAGCCAGGAGCCAGAAGCUUUCUCCAGGUUUCCCACGUGGGUGCAGGGGCUCAAGGACUUGGGCCAUCUCCCUCUGCUUUCCGAGGCCACAACAGAGAGCUGGAUCGGAAGCAGAGCAGCUAGAACUCGAACUCGUGCCCAUAUGGGAUACCAGCACCAAGCAGCAGCUUUCCCCGCUACACCACAGCACUGGCCCCAGCUGUAGCAUCUUAACCAUUAAGCCAAACAUCUGUCCCUAUACGAUUUUUUUAAAUAUUUAUUUUAUUUAUUUAAAAGGCAGACAGGCACAUGAAAAAAUGUUCAAGGUCACUGGCAAUCAGGGAAAUGCAAAUCAAAACCACAAUGAGGUUUCACCUCACCCCGGUUAGAAUGGCUCACAUACAGAAAUCUACCAACAACAGAUGCUGGCGAGGAUGUGGGGAAAAAGGGACACUAACCCACUGUUGGUGGGAAUGCAAACUGGUCAAGCCACUAUGGAAAUCAGUCUGGAGAUUCCUCAGAAACCUGAAUAUAACCCUACCGUUCGACCCAGCCAUCCCACUCCUUGGAAUUUACCCAAAGGAGUUUAAAUUGAUAAACAAAAAAGCGGUCUGCACCCUAAUGUUUAUUGCAGCACAAUUCACAAUAGCCAAGACCUGGAACCAACCUAAAUGCCCAUCAACGGUAGACUGGAUAAAGAAAUUAUGGGAUAUGUAUUCUUUAGAGUACUAUACCGCAGUAAGAAACAACGAAAUCCAGUCAUUUGCAACAAAAUGGAGGAAUCUGGAACACAUCAUGCUGAGUGAAGUAAGCCAGUCCCAAAGGGACAAAUACCAUAUGUUCUCCCUGAUCGGUGACAACUGACUCAACACCAAAAAGGAAACCUCCUGAAGUGAAAUGGACACUAUGAGAAAUGGUGACUUGAUCAGCAUAGCCCUGACUGCUAAUGGACAACUUAAUACAUUAUCCCUCAUAGUAUUUUUUUUUUGUCUGUUCUACUUAAUAUGACUGGUUUAAUUCUGUAAUUAUCACACAGUUAUUCUUAAGUGUUGAAAAUUAACUGAAAUGUGAUCCCUGUUAAACAUAAGAGUGGGAAUAAGAGAGGGAAGAGAUGUAUAAUUUGGGGCAUGCUCGGGCUGACUUGCCCCAAUUGGUAGAGUUGGAAACAUACCAGGGGAUUCCAAUUCAAUCCCAUCAAGGUGGCAUGUGCCAAUGCCAUCUCACUAUUCCAAGUGAUCAAUUUCAGUUCACAAUUGAUCAUAAUGAAAGGACUAAGAGUCAAAGGGAGCACAUAAACAAGUCUAGUAUCUGCUAACACCAACUGAUAGAAUAAAUAAAGGGGAGAGUGAUCCAACAUGGGAAGUGAGAUACUCAGCAGACUCAUAGAAUGGCAGAUGUCCUAAAUAGCACUCUGGCCUCAGAAUCAGCCCUAAAGGCACUCGGAUCUGGCUGAAAAGCCCAUGAGAGUAUUUCAGGCAUGGAAAGCCAAGACACUCUGGCAAAAAGAUCUCUGUGAGUGAGAUCCCAGUGGAAAGAACAGGUCUUCAAAGAGGGAGGUGCCUUUCUCUGAAGGGAGGAGAGAACCUCCACUUUGACUAUGACCGUGUCUAAACAAGAUAAGAGUCGGAGAACUCAAGGGGCUUCCAUAGCCUUGGAAACUCAUGACUGGUGCAUAGGGAGAUUACUGAUGCCAUAAACAGGAGUGUCAAUUGGUAAAGUCAACAACAGGAGUCACUGUGCACUUACUCCUCAUGUAGGAUCUCUGUCCUUAACGUGCUGUACACUGAGGCUUAAUGCUAUAACGAGUACUCAAACAGUAUAUUUCACUUUGUGUUUCUAUGGGGGUGCAAACGACUGAAAUCUUUACUUAAUGUACACUAAACUGAUCUUCUGUAAAAAAAAAAAAAAAGAAAAAGAAAUUAUCAAUUCCCAACUUGACUCUCACUGGGAUUAAACAUGACAAUAGGUCUGAUCUGAUUUCAUCAUCAUUUAAAAAAAAUCAUCUAUUAUUUUUCACUUUAUGUUUCUAUGUGGGAGCAAACUGUUGAAAUCCUUACUUAAUGUAUACUAAGCUGAUCUUCUGUAUAUUAAGAUAAUCGAAAAUGAAUCUUGAUGUGAAUGGAAGGGGAGAGGGAGUGGGAAAGGGGAGGGUUGUGGGUGGGAGGGACGGUAUGGGGGGGGAAAGCCAUUGUAACCCAUGAGUCGUACUUUGGAAAUUUAUAUUCAUUAAAUAAAAGAUAAAAAAAAAAAUAAAAGGCAGAGCCACAUAGCGAGAGGAAGAGACAGUGAGAACAAGAUCUUGCAGCUUCUGUUUCACUCCCCCACAUGGCCACACAACAACCGAGGUGGACUAGCCUGAAGCCAAGAGCCUGGAACUCCACCCAAGUCCCCAGUGUGGGUGGAAGGAGCACAAGGACUUAGGCCACCUUCUGCUUCUUUCCCAGGUGUACUUGCAGGGAGCUGGAUUGGAAACAGAGCAGCCAGGUCUGGAACUGGCACUCUGAUGUGGAAUGUGGACAUCACAGGCGCCAAGAUUUAUUUUUAGUGGCUUAAAACAGAAGAGUUGUUAAAAAAAUUGGAGGAGGGGUAUCGUAGAAACACGCCUGGAGAUAAACAGCUGCAAGAGAGCACCCUGUGUGCUGAGGAUUGAGAGUGAAACAGUUGCCCAAGUAGCCGUCUAUCCUGAGGUCGGGUUGGGAUUAGCUCUCUGUCCACAGUCCAAAUCUUAAGUGCAGGCCACUUCCUGGCAGGUGCAGCCCUCAGUAACUUAUAAGUGCCUGGCAAAGGCUCCACAGUGAUAAGCAAUGUCAAUAACCUUUUCGGGCAUGCACAGUGAUGUCAUCCAGCCAGGUAGAUAGGGGUACUAGAGGGAAAAUGAGCCCUAAAGUACCAGAGUGCCGUCAAUUUCCAGAGAAACCAUUCUGGAGGCAGCAAGUAUCGCACUGAGACCUGUCACACCCCACAUCAGAGCACCUGUGUCCCAAAUCUCAGGGGGCCAACAAUGGCGUUCAUGGCUAAGGUCUUCCUGAAUGUGCCUGGAGCCAGCCCUUCAUCACCAACAGAGCGAAUGUGUCCCUGGGUGCUGGGGAAUGUGAGCCACGCCUCCUUAUUCAUUCCCACUCCUAGAAAAGGAGGUAUCGGGAGCCGGUGCUGUGGCACAGUGGGUUAGAGCCCCAGCCUGCAGCGCUGGCGUCCCUUAUGGAUGCCAGUUCGAAUCCUGGCUGCUUCACUUCCUAUCCCACUCCAUGUUAAUGGCCUUGGAAAGCAGUAGAAGAUGACUCAAGUGCAUAGGCCGCUGCACUUACAUGUGAGACCUGGAAGAAGCUCCUGGCUCCUGGCUUCAGAUCAACUCAGCUGUGGCCGUCACGGCCAGUUGGGGGGUGAACCAGCAGAUGGAAGACCUCUCUCUCUCUCUCUCUCUCUCUCUCUCUGUGUGUGUGUGUAUCUCUCUGUAACUCUUUCAAAUAAACAAAAUAAAUCUUAAAAAAAAAAAAACAGGGCAGCAGGUGGAUCCCUUGGAGAAAGUCAUGAUUUUUCUAAAACCUCAAGCAACAGUGAGUGUUUUCCAGUCAAAGGAAACCAAGAUAUUGGCAGAAACCCAAUCUAAAGUCAAGGGCAAUGUUGACCCCAAGGCUCCUGGCAGCCUGGGAGAGAUUAGAGUGAAGCACGUGGGAAUAUCCCAGGCAGGCAGCUGGAACUCGGUGCAGAGGACAAUGGCCAGGGGUCACUGAGAACAGAUUCCAAGCGUGAGCUGCAGGCCUGAGACACAGCUAAGCUCAGGCCAUGCCCUGGGAGGGCAAAGCCCUACAAGCUGCCUGUGGAUUUCGAGAAGCUUCCCUUCUCCGAGUCACCCCAGCAUCCUUGAUCUCACAGCCAUCUCACUGUCUGCACGCUGGCACUGAAGUGAUGCCAGGACAUGUUCUCUUUUUGAAUAGCUGAAAAUAAAACAAGUUCCCACAAGGCACAUGUGUGUGUGACCCACGCCCUGGGGGUGCAGGAAUGCCACCCCCACAGUGCGCUGCCUAGCAAAUACCUUGAACUCCUGUUUUAGGCAUUUCCACCUGCUUUUGGUUCCUCCCAACACUUGUAUUCUUCUUCCUGUGCUGUGUUUUCUCCCAGAUCUGUCUGCCCACCCUGCUGGCUGCCAGCCACUGUGGCUGCAUACAUUUGAAUUAAUCAAAACUUAAGAAUGAUUGAGUGAGGAGGCUGGUGUAGUGGAUAAAGCUGCUCCCUGCAACACCAGCAUCCCAUAUGGGUGCCAGUUCCUUCCUGGCUGCUCCACUUUUGAUCCAGCUCCCUGCUAACGAGCCUGGGAAAAGCAGCAAAAGACAGCCCAAGCAUUUGGGCCCCUGCCCAUAUGUGGGAGACCCAGAUGAAGCUCCUAGUUUCUGACCAUUGCAGCCAUAUGGAGAGUGAACCAGCAGAUGGGAGAUUCCAUCCAUCUCUCCCUCCCUCCCUCCCUCUCUCUCUCUCUCUCUGCCCAGUCCUGCCAAGCACCGCUGUGUGUCCCAGCUUGGACAGCCAUGUCUUCUGGGUGCUGGCACUUCCCUUGAAGAGGCGUCAUUUCCAUUCCCGGUGCACCUGAUUUACGUCCUUGUGCCAGCUUACAGACUGUGAGGGACAGCACCGAGGGCUCGCUGUUUCUGACCAGAGUGCAUCGCCCUUGAGGAUGAUGCUGCAGAAAUGAGUGACAGCUGCAGCGCUGGCCUCUGUCAUUUAUUCCUGAGCCAGAGCCCCCUGUGGGACAGGUCACAGACAUGAGCCACGCAGCUCCUGCCUGGAUGAGGCACCCGACGCCCUGGCAGAGAGCCCCUUGUAUCAACACCGUGGUGGGGUGAGCACUGGGAUGCAGACCUGCGGGAUGCCAGGGAGGGAGGUGAUAAGGUCCCUGAGAAGGUGUGACGGAUGUCCUCUGGCCACUGGUGGGGUAAAAAUAGCGACGAAUGAGCAAGAGACCCUGCAGAUACAACUGGAGCAAAGGAAGCAGGAGGGAAGCAAGAGCAGUCUGGAGAUGGAAGCUGGCUGGCCCUUCCUGUGACAAAUCACAUCUGUAUCUGGGUUUACAGGUGAAAUUGGAAUCUCAUUUCCUUGUCUUCCAUUUCUUCUCUCUCUCUCUCUCUCUCUCUCUCUCUCUCUCUCUCUCAUUUAUCCAAGAGACACAGAGAGAAACAGAGAGAUAGAUAGACAAGCAUCCACUGGCUCACUCCCCCAAAUGUGGGCCCACAAUGGCCAAGGACCGAAGCCAGCAGCUAAGAUGUGGGGAUCCCACUUGUGUGGCAGGGACCCAACCACUUGAGCCACCACCACUGCCUCCCGGGGUCUGCAUUGUUGGGAAGCUGGAGUCAGGAGCCAGGUGUCGAACACAGUGCCCUGAUGUGGGGCAGGACCCCUUUACCUGUACCCUAAAUGUUAGGCCACACCUGCCCUCUUCUCUGGUACUGAUGCCAAGAUUGUACACAUUUCAUAAAAUGAAUUUCUGUAUUCUCUGUGGAUGGUUCUUAUCUGUUCAUUACUUCUGAACUUAUCUUGGAGUACAAGAGUAUGUUUUUUUUUUUUUUAAGAUUUGUUUAUUUUAUUUGAAAGGCAGAGUUAGAGAGAGAGAGAGAGAGAGAGAGAGGUCUCCCAUCCACUGAUUCACCUCCCAACAGCCAGAGCUGGGCCGAUCUGAAGCCAGGAGCCAGGAGUUUCUUCCAGGUCUCCAAUGUGGGUGACAGGGGCCCAAGGGCUUGACCCACCUUCCACUGCUCUCCCAAGCACAUUAGCAAGGAGUUGGAUUGGAAAUAGAGGAGCCAGAACUUGAACUGGUGCCCCACAUGGGAUGUCAGGAACACAGACUAUGGCUUUUCCCUCUAUGCCACAGCACUGGCUCCACGAGAGGAGAUAUUUUUAGACUCUGCUUUCUUCCUCCCCAAAGCUAUCCACUAACCUGACUCUAUACCAACAGCACAGAUGAUGCUGGCUCAUUGUUUACUUUAUAGAAAUUAUGCCCAGCUUCUCUGGUUCAACAUAUGUUUCUGAGAUAUAUUCAGUUACCAGGCUCAGAAAUCAUCACUCUCCUUACUGUUGCUGGAACCUGGCUGGUUCCCAGCUUGGGAGCUGUGUGCUGUAUUCAUUGCUACGGACAAUCUUGUAGACGCCAUUGGUGAGCAUGCGAAUACUUGCUGUUGGGUAUGCACCAGGGGUGCACUUGCUGGUGCAUAAUGGAGAGGAAACAUGGGCAAGGGGUGGUAGGAACGUGCACUCCCUCCUGGAGUUUGGGGUGCUGCACACUCUUGCCAGUACCUCCUACCGUCUCUUCCUUCCUGGAGGGUGUCAUGUAGCACUGUUCUCUCGUGCAGAUUGUGUGCACGCAGGCGGCAGCUAUUCCCCAAGAAGAAGGGCUGUGGUCUCGCCUCUCUCCUCCUCUUCCUCCUCCUCCUCCUCCUCUCAGCUUGCUGGUCACAGUGUCUCGCACUUUGGGGUGAGCAUGAUGGGCAGGAGCAGAUGAUGGACAGAGAUGUCUUUAUGGGUGGCACUCUCUGGGGCUGGAAAGAGAGUAACGCCCUCUCUCUGUCUCAGCUGGACACUGUAGGGAUUCUUUACAGACCUGCCUACGCCCAUGCUGCCUCCUUGACCUCCAUUUGCUCCGGAUGGGCCCUGCCUUACAAUGCGCUUGCUUCUUGCUUGGUCUCUGUUGCCUAGGACCUAAGACCACCUCCUUGGACCUGCAGCUACACCAGUGUCUCCUUUCUUUCUUGGCUGUGACCCUGAAGCUGCUGGCCAGACAGCAGUGGUCAUCCAUGCACUGUCCUAGCACCCCCUGCAGAGAGAAUUGUUGGGGAGCAAACACAGCGGGAGCCUUACAAAGAGCCCCACCCCCGAAAGAAGGUGCCUUUGACGUUGGUUCCCAGUCACUGCUCAUCACAAAAAAUAAGAGAAAGAUGAUCCUUAGGAGUGUAUCUGGAAGCAUCCAACUCGGCUGGUUGGUGGAUGUGGCAAUGGGGACACGAAGUGCAGGGGGUUGCAUUUUAAGCCACAGCACGUUUGUCUGGGCUGUGUCUCCUGUGGGUGGGACUGGUUCUCCCAGGUCGAACAGGACUUUAGUCAAGGGGCAGAGAGUGAGUCACCAUCGGCAGCUACAUCACUCAGGAGAUUUUUCUUGCCCUUCCAUUUACAAAUUGGGUUUCCUACACAAGCUGGGCAGUGGAGGCAGCUCCUUAACUCCAGAACCCAAAUGUGCCUGUCACGUUUCUCUGUGCAGAGCCCCAGGGCAUGGGCUCAGCGCCUCGCAGAGUGCCCAGCUGUGCCUGAUCCAGCCCCAGGCCACCUCCUGCAUUCCACAGCAAUCUUUAUACCCUGGUGUCUCCAGGCUCUCCCCCCAACUCCCAGGGACUGUCACCUGUGAGCUGAAAAGCUCACUCCCUCUGGUACGGAAGUUGCAUCCUCACCACCCCCAUGCACACCCCAGCACCUGUCAUCAGCCCAAUUCUGAUGCACCGAGGAACAGAGCAGAGCUUCCCCACCCCCACCCCCGGUGCUGCUCAGGACUCUGGCAACCUCCUUCACUUUCUGUCUACGAAAACAGCUUAAGUACGACUUCUUAAAUGAAAGGGCAUGGAAGGCAACACUCAGCCCAGAGGGGAUGCAGGCAGCGGCUUUUGUGACAUCAAUGGCGUGGCCAGAUGCGGUUGUACUAUGCCACACGCAGUCACUUCCACCUGGGCAGUAUGGUGGCCCUCACAGGUGUGCAGUCAGCAUGUGGCUGAGCCAGGAGGAACCUGUUAUGAAAGAAAACUGCUUGUGGUUGACCCAAGGGAGGCACUGCCUCUAAACCAAAGCCCCUUAACCCAACUUGAUCAUGCCCUUGGGCCGGCUCUGAUUUGGCUGCUUUGACAAGAGGAGCCUGGAAGGGACAUCCCAGACUGCACCUGCUGUGACAAACAAAGCCGUGGCCAAGGGCGACUUCCACCAGGCCAGCACCAGCUCCCGCCGGGCACUGUUCCUGGCCGUGCUGUCCAUCAC